UUCAAUAUUGUUGGCAACAACAAUGUGCACUUCUCGCUUAGUAAGACGUUGUGAUCCAUUAGAAAUUGACCAUUCCAAUGGUUAUUUGGCUAUCAAUAGGCUGGUGUAAAGUUCAUUAAUGCAAAUGGCUGGAUCUUUAAUGGUCUGGUGUAUUGUUUAGUGAGUUCAUCAUGUUCUGUCUAUAGCUGUCUGAUGGAUUUUAAAGGUCAUAGCAUUGAUGCUUGCAUCACCCAUUCGUGGGAAUGGUUAUGUACCCGAUCAACAGCGGUUAAAUUUGGGAUACCUUUUGGACCCGUCUUGAAACACGGACCAAGGAGUCUAUCUAUUGCGCGAGUAAAUGGGUAUAUGAAACCUAUUUGCGUAAAAAACUUAACUGUUAUGGGAUUACGAGUACAUUCGUGUGCUCCUCCAUCCCGGGGUAUUUUCAUCCAAACAUGCAGCAAUGUAUGUUGAAAAUAUACCAUGAGCGUAGUGGAUAUGACCCGAAAGAUGGUGAACUAUGCCUGAUCAGGUUGAAGUCAGGGGAAACCCUGAUGGAGGACCGAAGCAAUUCUGACGUGCAAAUCG
rnacentral:rRNA from 1 species